UACAGGGGGGGCAAGCGUUGUUCGGAAUUACUGGGCGUAAAGCGCGCGCAGGCGGCUAUCCAAGUCAGUGGUGAAAGCCCGGAGCUCAACUCCGGAAUUGCCAUUGAAACUGUUUAGCUUGAGGACGAGAGAGGUGAGUGGAAUUCCCAGUGUAGAGGUGAAAUUCGUAGAUAUUGGGAAGAACACCGGUGGCGAAGGCGGCUCACUGGCUCGUUUCUGACGCUCAGGCGCGACAGCGUGGGGAUCAAACAGG
rnacentral:rRNA from 1 species